GAUGGCUGAUAAUGAGACUACUCUGCAUACAUAAGAAAAGAGAAACACUGGUUUAUCAUUACCAAAGGAACCAUAUUUACUGUAGUGGCAGGUGUGUACAUAAUGGUGUUAGUUUUGUAAUUAACAAAAUGUCUUUAAAAAUACCUUUUUAUUUAAAUUUUUCCACGCAUUUUAGUUGUAGCCAUAGUAUAAGAGAUAUUAACCACUUCACGCGUUCUGAUUACCACCCCGUCACUCCAUAUAUUCUUGUAUAUGCUCAGGUUUAUAUCUUCCACAUAUCCCUCAUCUCUGUGUCUCUCUGGGAGCUGCUCCUCUGCUGCUGGCCUCCAUUAUACUGUGUGUGAAAUCGUGCAGGAAACCAGGGUCGUCUAAUGAAGCAGCUGUCAAAUACACUGAAGAGAAUGUGGAAGUUGACUUUUAAAACCUUCACACUGAAGCUGAAUGUGGAAUGAAGAACGUUUGAGAGCUCAGGAUUAUUUUUCAUUGUGAUGUUUCCCAGCUUGCAGGGAAAUCCUGAUUGGGGGUGCAGUUAUGGGGACACUCAGUGAGUUUUGGGAAUGAAGCAGUCGUGCCUUUAGAGUGCAGGAUCUGUAUAAUAUAUCUGAGGUUCUGAUUCACCAGAGCUGCACUUGUGGUCUUUGUCUAAGUUAGUCUGCUUUCAUUGCUGUAUGUUGGUUUCAGGACCUACGUUGAACUUUAUAUAUUAUGUAGUGAACUCGCCGCAAGCUUACAUACAGCCUAAACAGCUGAGACUCUGCAACAUACUCAACAUGCAUUUCAUGUGUCUGCUUGUAUUAGUACUAAAUUAAAUGGAAUUUAAAGUGUG